rnacentral:tRNA from 1 species
GUUGUCGUGGGUGGUGAAGGUGAUAGACUUGAAAUCUUUUGGGAUCUACCCGCGCAGGUUCGAAUCCUGCCGACGUCG